GUGACUCCACCAUUCCCUGGGCAGCUGUGCCAAUGCCUGUCUGCUCUUUUGGAGAAGAAAUGAUUUGUAACAUCCAACCUUAACCUCCCCUGGCACAACUUAUGGUCAUUAUCUCUCAUCCUAUAGAUCAGGUGUUCAUGUUCCUUCCCUGAUGUGACCUCAAGCACAGCAAGGGGACGAGAUGUGGUGUCUUCGCAUCCAUGCUCUCAGCACUGGAGGGUUUGCUGGAGGAUUAAUGAGGUGAUGCCACAAGGAAGUCAAGUUAAGAACCCUGAACAGCUCCAGCAAAAAAUAAUAAAUAAUAAUCCAAGAGCUUUUAAA